rnacentral:lncRNA from 1 species
GCAGGCUUAACAAUAAAAGUCAUGCAUCUUUUUUGCCUUAUUUCAACUUUUGGAUGUCAUUUUUCUUGAAGAGCGUAGGGACCCGGAGACUCCAUGGAGCAAGGAGAUAUUUAUGGAAGCUUCCAAGAAGACAAAUGGAACAGAAUGGGAUGUUUGCUUUCAUGGAUCAGCAAUGAAUCACACCACUUUCUUUCAGUAAUGACACAGAGUUAUAGAGUCUUCAGAAAGAAGCAACAGAAAGAAAAUGCUUUCUGCUGGAGAUCUGUGAAAGGCAUGAAGGCUCCUGAAUGGGGAACUGGGAUUAGGAGAGAGAGGCUGACUGUGGUUGGACUCAAAGGACAAUAAACUUCCACGCUUGUUUACACCUGGGUGCUGUGUCCAAAUGCUGUCUCUGGGCAUUCACUCUGCUCCAGGAUCUUCAGAAAAACAGGCUAAUAGCUGGCUGAAGGGAAGGGAAGAAAAGAGGGAUUGUGUCGGUGUGGAAUGGUCCAUGGCUGAACUCCUCUUAGGGAUGAAGACAAAAGCAGACCCGUGGAGAUGGGGGUAUCAGGCACAGCUCUGAAAAUAAAAUGUUAUUGGCUCAAGUCUGAAGCUGUCAAUUUCCACUGAGAUGGAAUAUAUUCCUCAGAAAAGAGAAGCACCAAAUAUUAUUAUGCAGUCUGCCUUUGGAGAAGGGAAAAAACACCCACUUCUUAUAAAAACACUUUUUUCGGAUGAAGGAUUUGAUUUCAACUGAUGAGUCAUCACUGUGUUUUUUUACCACUUCGCCAAAAAGUGAGGUUGUUUAAAAAGCAUUUCUUGAAGCAAAUUCUUCCAUUGCUAGGGUUUCUCUCAUCUGAGAGAGAAGGCGUCCUAAGUCCGCAGUGCUAGAAGCUGUCCUGGUCUGCAUGAAAGAUACUGUGGGACGAGAUUCGUAGUUAUCAAGUUCUAGAUUCAUUAUUAAAAAUCAACCUCAAGAUAAUAUUCAUGAUCUGGAAGCAAGAAAUUAUCAAGAAACAGAAAAUAAAUUUUAAAACACAAAUUUCAAUGAGUAAAAAAUAUGUUGAAAAAUGACACAAUGAAUGUCAGAAAGCAAAGGAAUUUAAGAGAACUUGGUGGAUAUUGUAGAAGAGGUGACCGUAUGUCUUGGUUUACCAAGGACAGUCCCAGUUCAUUCCUGAAACGCACCCACUUUCACUCUCAAAAAUGUCUUGCUUUGGAUAGUGAGUUAUAUGGUCACCCCCAGUGUGGCGGUUUUAAAAUACGUCUGCAUGUUCUUUGACACUCUUACCAUCGAGUCUAUCCCUUCCUCUUGAAAACAGGUAGAUUUUUAUGACUGCCUGGAUGAACAGGAUGUGGCAGCAGAGACACUACCUGACUUCCAAAUCUAGGUUAGAAAGGGCCAGGAACCUUCUGGUUGGCCUUGGGAUACUUGCUCUUGGAGGUGUCAGCCACUCUAUAAGGAGUCUGGCUACCAAGAGCUGCGAUGUUGGAGAAACCAGAGAGCAAGAGCAAGAGAGUGAGCGAUGCGUGAGGAAGCCCGGCUGUGCUACUGGAGUCUUCCCAGUCCUGGCACCAAACACAUGGGAGACAUACCCUGGGAACCCAGCCACCACAUUGUAGCAAAGCCCGGGCCACAUGGAGAGACCACAUAUGUGUUCCAUCUGAUGGCUCCAGCUGGGGUCUCAGCAGAUAGCCAUGAUGAACUGCCAGACAGGUCAGGCUCGGUGAGCAGCUCUCCAGCUGUUUGUUCUGUAAUGGUUCCAGUGAACGAGAGGCACUGCGGUCCAAGAAAAUGUCCUGGAGCACCAGUGGGUUCUGGGCUGCUGGCUGAGGGCCACUUGGUAUGCUGUGCCACUGAGCUCUCAGCCGGAAUUUCACCUUGGCUACAUAUUCCUCUCUCAAUCCACUAAUUCCCCAGAAAGGAGACCGUGGACGCACCAUGCCCUUGAAGAACAAUAGAGGAACUGUGGGCUGGGUAUUUGGGGAGAUUCCUGCAGAGGAGGCCGUUGUUCAGGGACCUGGCCUCAUGAUCAGGAUGCGGGCUGUGCGAUUUUUCUCUGAGGAGCUCUAGAAGCCUUGAACCAUGGACUUCAUAGAAUCUUGACUUUUUAGCUAAGUCCACGUGAGAGGUUGCAAAUGAAUGGUCCGUAGGCUGAACACUACCUCCAGGAGUGUUUUGUUUAGCUUGCAUGGUGUUUAAACAUUUUUUGAGUAAGUCACCAACAUUUUAAGAUUGGGAGAUUAAAAAUUUUAGAUUUCUAAUGUCUCUUGAAAAAAAGCAAAGGAAAGAUCUGGCAAUGGCAUCACUGACAUCCCAUUCUUGCCACAGUCCGUCAGAAGCUGGAGAUUUACACUGGGCACCCAUUCCCUGGGCUUUCAUCCCACU